GGGGGGGAAUGAUAUAUAUGUCUGUAUGUCUAAGGUUUCAACUCUUUUUCCCGGAGGUACUAACAUGGUUAUGUUCUUCUCUGUAUAUUCAUGUGUUAAGAUGUAGUAUUGGUACACAAGUACGUCUUAAUAAUGAAGACCUUAACAAACCGGCAUGAUAUGGCUAGUUAAAUCCAUUACCGCCAUCCUAUAUGUUCCCCCACUUCAUGUUCAUAGAUUUAGGGUCAUUGCAUUCAUUUUAGGCAAAGGAAAGGUAAAAUCUUGAUAAGAGGUAUUUCUAUAAACAUCUUUCUAGCUUCUGCUAAUCCUAUCUUAAUAAUUAGAGUAAUGCUAGAUAUGUCUGUAUGUCUAAGGUUUCAACUGGUUCUCCCGGAGGUACUAACAUGGGAUAUUUUUGCAGGCUAAAUCAGCUGGCAUUUUCUUCUUUACCAUGACUAUCUGUCUCUGGUUUCAAAAGUUAAAAUCAUAGGAAUUUGCUGCGAGGCAAACUAGACUGGUGACUGCAUUUAAAUGUGUAGUAUAAAAGAUUUUAG